GGCUCGUUGAUCUAAGGGCAUGAUUCUCGGUUUGGGACCGAAAGGUCAUGGGUUCAAAUCGCCGAUGAGCCC